rnacentral:lncRNA from 1 species
UGGCUGAGCUGUGGUACGCUCGCCAUGGCGUCCUCGACGGGGGGGUUGGACCACGGGUUCACGUUCACGCCGCCGCCGUUCAUCACGUCGUUCACCGAGCUGCUGUCGGGGGGCGGUGGGGACCUGCUCGGCGCCGGCGGUGAGGAGCGCUCGCCGAGGGGGUUCUCCAGAGGCGGAGCGAGGGUGGGCGGCGGGGUGCCCAAGUUCAAGUCCGCGCAGCCGCCGAGCCUGCCGCUCUCGCCGCCGCCGGUGUCGCCGUCGUCCUACUUCGCCAUCCCGCCGGGGCUCAGCCCCACCGAGCUGCUCGACUCCCCCGUCCUCCUCAGCUCCUCCCAUGUGCGUUCCGCGUGACACACCUUCAUCUUCUUCUUCUACCUUUAGUGCGCAAUUGCUGUGUAGUGUGGUGCUGAUGAUGAUCCAUGGCGUUUGUGCGUGUUUGUGCUUUUCAGAUCUUGGCGUCCCCGACCACCGGUGCAAUCCCGGCUCAGAGGUACGACUGGAAGGCCAGCGCCGAUCUCAUCGCUUCUCAGCAAGAUGACAGCCGCGGCGACUUCUCCUUCCACACCAACUCCGACGCCAUGGCCGCGCAACCGGCCUCUUUCCCUUCCUUCAAGGUACGUACAAAUGCUUCAGCUCAUCUAGCUCAACCCAAGCUGAAUAAACUGUUGACAGUCUAGCUCACCUUGGUUCAUGUACGCUUGUGCUGGAGCAGGAGCAAGAGCAGCAAGUGGUCGAGUCGAGCAAGAACGGCGCCGCCGCCGCGUCGAGCAACAAGAGCGGCGGCGGCGGGAACAACAAGCUGGAGGACGGGUACAACUGGAGGAAGUACGGGCAGAAGCAGGUGAAGGGGAGCGAGAACCCGAGGAGCUACUACAAGUGCACCUACAACGGCUGCUCCAUGAAGAAGAAGGUGGAGCGCUCGCUCGCCGACGGCCGCAUCACCCAGAUCGUCUACAAGGGCGCACACAACCACCCCAAGCCGCUCUCCACCCGCCGCAACGCCUCCUCCUGCGCCACCGCCGCCGCCUGCGCCGACGACCUCGCGGCGCCCGGCGCGGGCGCGGACCAGUACUCCGCCGCGACGCCCGAGAACUCCUCCGUCACGUUCGGCGACGACGAGGCCGACAACGCAUCGCACCGCAGCGAGGGCGACGAGCCCGAAGCCAAGCGCUGGUAAGCCUCACAUCAUCACUCAAAUCAGCAAUCGAAGCGUAAUAUCUCCAUGCGUGUGCGUGUGUUCUUCUUGGGUCUCAUGGAUGUCAUGGUUUUCAGGAAGGAGGAUGCUGACAACGAGGGCAGCUCCGGCGGCAUGGGCGGCGGCGCCGGCGGCAAGCCGGUGCGCGAGCCGAGGCUUGUGGUGCAGACGCUGAGCGACAUCGACAUCCUCGACGACGGCUUCCGGUGGAGGAAGUACGGCCAGAAGGUCGUCAAGGGCAACCCCAACCCAAGGUAAUCAAUCAAUCAAGCUGAUCAAAAUCCGUCGAUUAGUCGAUUAAUCAUAUCUGUUCUUGCGUCUCUAAUAAUCAAAUCUGUUCUUGAAUCGCAGGAGCUACUACAAGUGCACGACGGUGGGCUGCCCGGUGCGGAAGCACGUGGAGCGGGCGUCGCACGACACGCGCGCCGUGAUCACCACCUACGAGGGCAAGCACAACCACGACGUCCCG